GACGAACGCUGGCGGCGUGCUUAACACAUGCAAGUCGAACGGAAAGGCCCUGCUUUUGUGGGGUGCUCGAGUGGCGAACGGGUGAGUAACACGUGAGUAACCUGCCCUUGACUUUGGGAUAACUUCAGGAAACUGGGGCUAAUACCGGAUAGGAGCUCCUGCUGCAUGGUGGGGGUUGGAACGUUUCGGCGGGUGGGGAUGGACUCGCGGCUUAUCAGCUUGUUGGUGGGGUAGUGGCUUACCAAGGCUUUGACGGGUAGCCGGCCUGAGAGGGUGACCGGCCACAUUGGAACUGAGAUACGGCCCAGACUCCUACGGGAGGCAGCAGUGGGGAAUAUUGCACAAUGGGCGGAAGCCUGAUGCAGCAACGCCGCGUGCGGGAUGACGGCCUUCGGGUUGUAAACCGCUUUCGCCUGUGACGAAGCGUGAGUGACGGUAAUGGGUAAAGAAGCACCGGCUAACUACGUG
rnacentral:rRNA from 1 species